GUAGUCAUGGCCGAGUGGUUAAAGGACUGGACUAGAAAUCCAUUGGGAUCUUCCCGCGUAGGUUCGAAUCCUACUGACUACG